GACGAACCGAGCGAACGUUAUUCGGAUUCACUGGGCUUAAAGGGUGCGUAGGCGGGCUGUCAAGUCUGGGGUGAAAUCCCUCAGCUUAACUGGGGAACUGCGUGUGAUACUGGAUGGCUUGGAUUUGGGAGAGGGAUGCGGAAUUCCCAGUGGUAGCGGUGAAAUGCGUAGAUACUGGGAGGAAUACCGGUGGCGAAGGCGGCUCCCUGGACCGGUCUGACGCGAGGUGC
rnacentral:rRNA from 1 species